AGGGAUAUAGUUCAAUGGUAGAAUCGCGGUCUCCAAAACCGUUGAUGUGGGUUCAAAUCCUACUAUCCCUGCCA
rnacentral:tRNA from 1 species